CCAAGUUUAAGGCCUAAUUAGUGGAGAAUCAGAAAUCCAAGUAGGGAUUGAUUUGUUUACUUCUCCCCACAGCUGAGUUUCCCAUCCCAGCUCUUGGGUUUUCAUGAAAGGCAGCCAAGCACACGGAAAGCUCCAGGCAGCCCAGCAGGAGCAGAGGUGAGUCAUCUACUUCUAGAGGGAUUAGGUUCAGUAAUGUCCCAUUAAUCUGGCUUCAUCAGGAAAUGAGCUGUGUCACCUAAGUACAUUUUCCAAUAACUGAAGCUUACCCUUUCAUGUGCCAAAACUUGAUUUAAUCAUUUUGGAUGGAAGGCCUUCUAAAACUAAUUACAUGCCCCUUGCCUAUUGCAGGUGGGGUGUGUGUGUGUGCUCAUUCUCUAACCUUUACUUGAGGACACAGGAACCAUUAAUUCACCAGGCUAUAAAUUAAGGAAAGUAAGGUGCUAUUUGCACCAAUAAUGAAUUUCCCCCUCUGUGCUUUGGAUUUUGAGCUCUUCUGCCUUCUUUAAUAAUUGUAUUCUUCCCCUCCCCUGUCUAUUUCUUCAUGCUUUUUGGGUAUUGUAUGACAGACCGACAGGAAUGGACUCUGAUCUCAGAGCUACAUGCAGAUUCUUGCUCUGCUCUUAUGUCCACUGGGCUCCAGGGACUGUGUGUAGUGUGUGUCCCAGUGAGCUGUCACCGAUUAUGUCUGGAAAGUCCAGUCCUGUCCUACCAUCAUUGAAAAGACCAGAUCCACAAUGAAAAGGAAGCUCCAUUACUGUGGCGCUCGACUCUCAGGUCAUGUGACUGCUUAAUAAUAAGCACAGCUUCCUAGCGAGUGGGUUUGCUUCUUGCUCUGCAGCUUUUCUACAUUUUAACCCAGAUACCUAGUCUUCAGAGGGUCCUUUCUGAGCUACAUGGUCAAUCUUGCCACUGCCUUAUUUGCUCUGUAUUCAGUCUCAAGGCAUGUACAUAAACCUGGGUUCAGGGUAGGGACUGGACAUGCCUUUCUCAUCAACAGGCGAAGCAUCCGAGGUUUUAGAGGAGAGCAAAGAUUCUAGAGUAAAUCUCACAAUCUGCUCUGCAUGUGGAGGUCCCAGGAGAUGCAGGCGGUUCUGUAGACUUUGGAUCUUUAAAAUGCUGGCAUGCCACAGUCAAGUCCCACUUUGGACGCCUGCCCCACACUUUUCUGUGUUGAAGGAGAACUGCAAAGGCCCCAUUGCUCAACUCUUGGGAAUGGGGAGAAGGGCUAAUCCCAAGGGUUCCUGAGGAUGCUGAAGGAGGUCACCCCAUUUGUCUGCUGGGGAGAGAAUGUGGAGGGGUAAGUGUGGUGGUUUUAGGUGCUGGAGAGACCAUAUGUAGAUGGUAGGUUCCAUUUCAUAGGGGACUGUUCUGAAGCCACAUGUUGGUCAGGUGUUCAGGGCCUUGAGUUCCUGAUGCCCGUGAGCAUGAAAGAACUCUUAUAUCCCACCACCUAGGGCCACUUGGUUGAGUCCUAUCACUGGUCCUUAUGCUCAUGUUCCCAUGGAAACUGUUGCUUGGAGAAAGCAUGCUCAAGAGGAAAGGAAGGAGAGUGUGGCUCAGAUGAGACACUGGGAUGGCAGUCUGGAGCCUUUCAUGGAGUCAGGCCUUCUCUGGGCCCACACUUUUUCCUACACAAUUGCAUUUGCAGUUUUGAUGCUUUAUAUGACUAGAGGAAGUUAAUUAACCUCUCUGAGUCACAGCUUUCUUGACUUUAUUACUUACUUUUUACUUAUUUGCAACACUCAGAAUUGAACCCAGGGCCUCGAUCAUGCCACCCAAACACUCCAUUACCUGGCUGCACAACCCUCGCCAAGC
rnacentral:lncRNA from 1 species